rnacentral:tRNA from 1 species
GGGUGUAGCUCAGUGGUGGAGUGUGAGCUUAGCAUGCAAGAGGGCCUGGGUUCAAUCCCCAGCACUUCCA